rnacentral:rRNA from 1 species
GAUUAACGCUGGCGGCGUGCCUAACACAUGCAAGUCGAACGAUGAAACUCAUUAGAUUUCUUCGGAAUGAAAAUGAAUGGAUUAGUGGCGAACGGGUGAGUAACGCGUGAGUAACCUGCCUUACACAAGGGGAUAGCCUCUGGAAACGGAGAAUAAUACCCUAUGAAACCAGACAAUCGCAUGAUAAUCUGGUCAAAAUGUUUAGUGGUGUAAGAUGGACUUGCGUCUGAUUAGCUAGUUGGUGAGAUAAAAGCUCACCAAGGCAACGAUCAGUAGCCGGCUUGAGAGAGUGUACGGCCACAUUGGGACUGAGACACGGCCCAGACUCCUACGGGAGGCAGCAGUGGGGAAUUUUGCACAAUGGGGGAAACCCUGAUGCAGCGACGCCGCGUGAUUUAGAAGGCCUUCGGGUUGUAAAAAUCUUUCGUAUAGGAAGAAAAUGACAGUACUAUACGAAUAAGGUCCGGCUAAUUACGUG